AAAAAGCCAUUAUUAGGCAAAACUCUUAAACAAAAGGUCCUUGACCCAUAGGGUCUUUUGCAAUGACAUUGUGAAGCAAUGACCUUGACAAAGGUCACAAGGUCAAAGGUCAAGGUCAUGUACAUAUGUGAUUUGGGGCACGACUUGAAGAAUUUUAUGUGUGUUUGCCAACCAACCAACCAAUCAUGAUCAAUCAAUAAUGAUCAAUCAACAAAUCAUGAUCAUGAUCAAUCAACCAAUCAUGAUCAUGAUUAAUCAAUCAAUCAAUCAUGUUUCCGUCUCAUGUGUUUAAUAUAGGGUUCAAGAUCUCCUUUGUUUCUUUUUCGCUGUUUCAAUUGACCCUUUCCAACGUGUUUAACCAACCAACCAACCAACCAACCAACCAACCAACCAAUCAAUCAAUCAAUCAAUCAAUCAAUCAAUCAAUCAAUCAAUCAAUCAUGAUCAAUCAAUCAUGUUUCCGUCUCGUCUCGUGUGUUUAAUAUAGGGUCCAAGAUCUUCUUUGUUUCUUUUUCGCUGUUUCAAUUGGCCCUAUCCAACGUGUUUAACCAACCAACCAACCAACCAACCAACCAACCAACCAACCAACCAACCAACCAACCAAUCAAUCAAUCAAACAAUCAAUCAAUCAAUCAUGUUUCCGUCUCGUGUGUUUAAUAUAGGGUCCAAGAUCUUUUUUGUUUCUUUUUCGCUGUUUCAAUUGGCCCUAUCCAACGUGUUUUACCAACCAACCAACCAACCAACCAACCAACUAAUCAAUCAAUCAAUCAUGAUCAUGAUCAAUCAUGAUCAUGAUCAAUCAAUCAUGAUCAAUCAAUCAUGUUUCAUGAAAAAUUGAAAUUUAAUAUUGUUCUUGCGUCACUUCUGAAAAAAAAAUCCACAUGUACUCUGAAACUACAAAUACAAUCGACCUCAAAAUUUGCAGUCAGCAGGGCAUACAUGUACUAAAAGUUUAUAAAAAAACUUGGUGCAGAUAUCUCUCAAAGCUUUUCCUAGAGAAAAGAAAUUGCAAUGCCGUAAAAAUUGCUUGCUAGGUCCGUAAAUUUCAGUAAAAGCCUACAAUAAAAUGUCCGCUCCGAGAUUGAAAUACUAAUCUGUGUUACAAACAGGUGCUGAAAAAUGUACAUUAUCAGAAAAUAAUCAAUAAAUGUGUUUUAAAGUUACACCGGAUCAAAUAAAUCCAAAUCAUGCACUGUUUGUGAACUGUCAUCAAAAUGUCAAUUUCCUACAAUGACAAAAGAAAUUACAUUGUGUGCAUUCCGUCUCUAUACAUGUUGUCUGUUCAAAGUCCCCACCUAAAAAGGAAUAAAAAGACUAUCUUUUCGUUAUUAUAAACCCGUGUCACGUGAUGUGGCGCGCGCGCUGUACCUAAAAUAAAAGAAAAACUUUCCAAACUAAACAUGAAACUUCUCCGGUAACAAUAAUAUAGACCCCAUACAGAAACAAACAAACAAACAAACAAACAAACAAACAAACCCCCCCCCCCCAAUUCAAUUAAUUUUAAAGGGGGAAAGACCCCCUACAAUUGCUUUUUUAAAGCAAUUGAUUUAUAUUUAUUAUUAUUAUUAUUCUUCCGCCAAACUUUAACGAAAUUUCCCAAAAAAAGUACGCGACAUGUUGAAAUGAUAUUAGGUAUCUAGUAUCGGUUGACUAAAAGCUAUCUUGUGUUGAGGGCACGACCCCGUAACAUUUCCUUUAUAGGGGUUAUCUCCCCUAACACCGAAAAACUUGUUAUCAUUCUAACUCCAUAACCAUAAUAGGUAGAAAAAAAACAAAGGGUGGAAUUUGUUCAGGAACAGACCCUGGUGCUUCGUUACAUUUGAAUCGAAAAGAUUCAACGACUCAUUGGUAGGGUUAUGCCCCUUUGAAAAUUAACAAAUGUCGGUUGGCCACUUAAACUCAAAAACUGUAAGUUGUAGCCACCUAGGAUUAUCACCAAUGAUCAUCAAUUCACAUGAACAUGAAAAUUGACCUACUAUUUUACAACACAUUUUGUUCAGGCGAUUUUUCGAAAUCCAAUGGACCAAUGUUGAUGGAACUCUACUAUAGUGAGGACCCCCAUGUCAAGUUGUGCACGAAGCAUGGAAUGGUUUAAGAUGGCUGCCGUUACCAUGGAAACGGAACAAAUGGGAAAAAUGCUAGUUUUUGGUUUUGUUGAAC
rnacentral:lncRNA from 1 species